rnacentral:rRNA from 1 species
AUUGAACGCUGGCGGCGUGCUUAACACAUGCAAGUCGAUCGGUAACGCGGGGGCAACCCUGGCGACGAGAGGCGGACGGGUGAGGAACGCUUGGGAAUCUGCCUAUCAGCGGGGGACAACACGGGGAAACUCGUGCUAAUACCGCAUACGCUCUACGGAGGAAAGCCGGGGACCGCAAGGCCUGGCACUGUUAGAUGAGCCCAAGCCGGAUUAGCUAGUUGGCGGGGUAACGGCCCACCAAGGCGACGAUCCGUAGCUGGGCUGAGAGGACGAUCAGCCACACUGGGACUGGGACACGGCCCAGACUCCUACGGGAGGCAGCAGUGGGGAAUAUUGGACAAUGGGGGAAACCCUGAUCCAGCGACGCGGCGUGGGUGAAGAAGGCCUGCGGGUUGUAAAGCCCUUUCGGUAGGGACGAAAGCUCUCGACCUAACACGUCGGGAGGUUGACUUAACCUACAAAAGAAGCACCGGCUAACUCUGUGCCAGCAGCCGCCGUAAUGA